GGGUGGGGUGUCAGUGAAAUACAGUGUUCAGUUACUGCUUUGUGGUUUGGGGAAGAGAGGGUGGGAGCCAUACUAGAAUGGGGUCUUAGUCUUUCCCGAGGGUACACUGCUGUGAAUUUAAACUUUGGCUUCUUGCAUAAAAACUGCUCUGCCCCUUUUCUGAUUAGUUCAGAUUAAUUAUCUAGGAUUCUGCUUGUUAGGCAGGAGAGUGCCAGUUUCUGCCUGCGUCUGUGUUCUCCAACUGGAUGGGGAGAACAUCAGGGACCAGCUUACUGGGUAACCUGCAGGAAAUCCAUCAUUACUUUACUAACAAGAACAUCCUAAAUUCACCCCAUCCCUUCAUUCAGAUGUGCCAUUCUGCUUGUGUUGUGGCCAGUGAAAUGGGGCAAGCAAUGAGGAUGAGUGGGGAAUGUGUCCCCCAGUAAAUGUUGUAGUCAUGCUUGUUUCAGCUAGCAUUGGCAUUGCUAUCCUUAGUUGCUCCUCUCACAUCUGCAAGGCAUCAGUGUAAACGAUUAGGUUUCAUGGCUUAAUAAAAUAGGGUCUUCUGCUUAUUAAUUAGGUGAAGACCAUGAAGCCAAUAUCUCACCUAGUGCAUUCCAUCAGCCAGACCUGGAGCAUCCCUCUUGAUGAAGACAAUGAGUGUUGACUUAACCUGUUCUUCACUGAGAUCUCUGGAUCUUUGAUGUUUGCUUGGUGAGGAACACCAGGGUACAGAGUCCUCCCUGUGAUCAUCAUGGAGCCCAGAGCCCACAUUCAGAAGGAGGCAUCUAGCAUGCAGAGAGCAGAAAACAUUGCCUCUGAGUUAAAUGAUGCUUUGCGAUAUGGCCAGAGGGAAAAGGUACUGGAGCUGCUGGAAAAUGGGGCAGAUGUGAACUCCAAAGUAGAAUUUGGAUGGACACCGCUUCAAAGUGCUGUGCAAUCUGGUGACAAGGAGAUGGUCCAACUUUUGCUGGCCAAAGGUGCGUGCCCAUACACCAGGAAGGAUAAUGGUGGCACUGCGUUUAUUGAGGCAGCGAUGGUGGGAGACGUGGAAAUACUGGAGCUCCUUUUUGGUUGUGGGUUUAACGUUAAUGACAGUGACGAUAAUGGAUUCACUGCUUUCAUGGAAGCUGCUCUGUAUGGGAAGGAGGAAGCCUUGAGGUUCCUGCACAGCAAAGGAGCAGAUGUGAAUUUGAGGAGGACAGCCAGUGAGGAGAAGAAGAAACUGAGCAAGGGAGGGAAGACUGCACUGAUGGAUGCUUGUCUGGGAGGCCACUUCUCAGUGGUAAAAACCCUUAUCCAGGAGAUGGGGGCUGAUGUGAACAUUUGUGACAAUGAAGGUAGGAAUGCCUUGAUCCAUGCCCUCAAAGAUAAUGUAAGGGGAAAAAAUGAGUCAGAUGUCUUUGAAAUAGGCCGUUUCCUGCUGGAACGUGGUGUUGAUGUCAACUGCAAAGAUGAAGCUGGCAAAACUGCCCUCAUUCUAGCUGUGCAAAGGAAGAAUACAAGUUUGGUGGAAGCUCUGUUGGACAGGGAUGACAUAAAAAUUGAUGAAGCAGGUGAGGAUGGCCGAACAGCUCUGGCAGUGGCUGUAGAGAAAAACACAUAUGAUAUAGCAGAGAUGCUGUGUAAGAAAGGUGCAAGGACUGACACUGGGGAACUUGUUGCUGUUGCAAAUAGGAACCGUGCUAGUGAAAUGGCAUGCCUUCUUCUGAAGUAUAACACCAUGUUUGUUCCAACAAAACCUGACAAGUGGGAGCCAAAGAGCAAACGUUGGAGGCACCAGCUGCAAAGUCUUCAUAAGAUGUAUCGCCCCAUGAUUGGCAAAUUAAAAGUAUUUCAGCACGCCUCUCAGAGAAUUCAGGACAACAUCUACCUUGGGCUCUAUGAUGAGAUGGAGGUGGCAGUAUGGAUACACCACCGUGCAGAAGGUGUCAAGGAGAAAACAUUCCUUGGCCUAUGUGGGAGCUGUGAACAUCUACUGAAGCUCUUCCAAUCUGAACAAGAAAAGGGCUGCAUGUAUUUGUGCUUCCCUCUCUGGGAGAAAAACCUCGAAGAACAUCUGCAGGACCCGGAAGACCAAAAGGAUCCCAAAGGCAUCCUGAAGAUGAUCUUCCAGGCAGUGAGAGAGCUGCACUCACUCGGGUUUGCUCACCAGUCUCUGCAUCCCAAGAACUUCUUGAUAGAUUUAGGUGGCAAAAUUUACUUGACAGAUUUUGAUAGCACCAGAAAGCUGACUGAAGGCAAAACUGAAGUUAUCAACAAAGACUUAGAGAACCUCAGCAAGCUCAUGCUGUAUGUUUUAACAGGGGGUAGGAAACCCCUUAAUGAAGUCAGUACGAAGGAUAUGGAUGCGGGUUCCAUGGAUUAUGAGGAGGCUUUGGACCUUAUUGAUAGCCUGGCCUCUCAUGAUGAACGGGGCUUGGAAGAUCUGAGCGAGCACCCCUAUUUCUGGAGCAAACAGAAGAAGUUCAAUGUCCUAAAGAAUAUAUGGAAUAAAAUCAAAGAUCUGACUGAUGAUGAUAAAGAGGAUGCUUUUACCACUCUUAAUGCUGGAAAACCUAUUCUUUACCCAAACUGGAUUAAGCAGACCUGUAGAUGUUUAUAAUCAACCGUGCCACGUUGACAGUCCUAAUAUGAAUGCUAUGCCUCAGCCAGGCAGGAUCAGGGAGUCUGUAUGGUGUGCUUCCUGCAGAGCUCAUGUUGGUCAAGUGCCACAGAGUGCAGCCAUGCAAGAUUGAUCGAGAGAUUCUGCGCAUCAUGACGAAUGUCGAUGGUAAAAAAAAAUUCUACGAGAAAAACAUCGCACACCUACUGAGAUUCAUC